ACUCCUACGGGAGGCAGCAGUGGGGAAUAUUGGACAAUGGGCGCAAGCCUGAUCCAGCAAUGCCGCGUGAGUGAUGAAGGCCUUAGGGUUGUAAAGCUCUUUUACCCGGGAUGAUAAUGACAGUACCGGGAGAAUAAGCCCCGGCUAACUCCGUGCCAGCAGCCGCGGUAAUACGGAGGGGGCUAGCGUUGUUCGGAAUUACUGGGCGUAAAGGGCGCGUAGGCGGCUUGCCAAGUCAGGCGUGAAAGCCCCGGGCUCAACCCGGGAAUUGCGCUUGAUACUGUUGCGCUUGAAUCCAGGAGAGGAUGGCGGAAUUCCCAGUGUAGAGGUGAAAUUCGUAGAUAUUGGGAAGAACACCAGUGGCGAAGGCGGCUAUCUGGACUGGCAUUGACGCUGAGGCGCGAAAGCGUGGGGAGCAAACAGGAUUAGAUACCCUGGUAGUCCACGCCGUAAACGAUGAGUGCUAGACGCUGGUAGGUUUACCUAUCGGUGUCGCAGCUAACGCAUUAAGCACUCCGCCUGGGGAGUACGGUCGCAAGAUUAAAACUUAAAGGAAUUGACG
rnacentral:rRNA from 1 species